rnacentral:rRNA from 1 species
AUGAGGAUGACUGUCCCCACCAUUUCUGGUGCUGCUACUUCUGAGAUCUCCGCCAAGGACGAUGAUCAAGAGAUGGAAGAUGUUGUUACUUCCAACCCUGCUCCUCCUCAUGUUAUUAGCCUUCCUGACGACGAAGACGAAGCGCCGCUGAGAGUGAGGCGGAACAGGAAGGCGUCGGCUGGCGAGACUCCACAAUCCACUCCGGCGCCUGAGGCCGUAGCUCGAGACGGUGGCGAUACCACCCGGGCUUCUGUGACUUUCGCCAAUCCUCUGACGAGUGUGCGGCCCUCGACGUCGACUGUAAAUCCGCCUUCGCUCUUCGCCACACACCACGUCCCUGAGGACCAAGUGGGUGCAGCUAAGGAAGCUAUACGCCAGGCAGGCAUCAUGAUGGAGCAGGUCAAGGUGGUUCAAGAAGCCAGCCAAGCGGCUUAUGACGCGAGUUCAGCUCUUCAGAGUAACAUCCAGAAAUCCUGUGAACUUGUGGCUCUCUACACUGAGUUGGAGAACAAACAGAUCCAGCUCGACCUUGACUUGAAGCUCGCUCAACAGAACCUGCAGAAGGCGCGAGACGAAGCAAAAGAUAAACUGGAGGAAGCUCUGAAGAAGAAGGAUCAAGAUCUUGCCGAAGCACAGAAGGAGGCCUCGAGCAAAACGAAGCUUGCAGAAGAGAAACUGGCUUCAGUCAGAACUCUUGAGCAGGAGAACUCCAGACUGAAAACUGCUCUCGAGACAGCUAAUCGAGAGGUCAGCCGACUGAAGAACGACAAGAUGGUUCUGCACGACCAGGCGGGUGAGCUGGCGGGGAAGGUAAACGAUCUGGAGGCUUAUCUCGGUGGACUCGCCAAGAAGCUGUUCGUCAUGUUCGAAGAAUUCUGCCAGAGCUUCGAAGAGAAAACGAGUCGAGUGGAGCCAGGCUUGGAUCCCGCCAAUUCUCUCGUGAAGGACGAGGCUGCUAUGAACGUGCUCCGACUGGAGUCUCGUGUUACCAGCGUUGUUGACUAUCUUGCUCGGCUGAAGGUUGCGAUGUCGCGGAUCGACACAUCACUCUGGCCUGGAACGACGCUUCAGAACGACCUCGAGUCCCUGAUGGUUCGAUUGGAUGAAGUCCCGGGUCGAGUGGCGGAAUGGAAGAAAUCUUCUGCUAGAUGUGGUGCUGAUGUCGCUCUGUCUCUGGUCCGCGUCCAUUGCAAGGAGGCGCGAGAAGAAAAGCUGGCCGCCAUCCAAGUUGCCAAUACCAGGAAGCACAGCUUUCAAGACUUCAUGGAGACUUUCAUUGCUGCUGCUACUCGUAUUGCAGACGGGAUCGACUUGGACGAGUUCGUCGCCCCUUCCAGUCCUCCGCUUGAGGAAUGA